UCGUCCACUUGAAGCCUUGAUCAGAUCUUUCUUCAUGGAAGUGCUAGCUCACAUCGAAGGCUCUAGAUGGCUGAUCCAAGCUCCUUUCUUUAAAUCUCUCAGACUCUUUCAGAUCAGAAAAUAAAGCUUUAUAAGGAGGUGGUGGUGUAGGAGAUUGAACAAGACUCGCUCUUGUAUUUUUGUCUCAUAAAAUCUAGAGUUGAAACCCUAGACCCUACACCUCAUGUCCGAGAGGAAGAACACUUCCUAUAUUUCUCAUGCACGGAAGCCCAACCCACUCUCAACUUUUCAUGCCCCAACUCUCAGAUUUCUCAUACCAAAAAUCACUUCUAAUCUCACACAAAACUGAUCCUUUCUUAAAGAUGGCAUCCCAUGGAAGAUAAGGAUAACGAAAAGGUAGUUUCGGUUCAAUUUCAAACGUUGGUUGAUCUUUAUCACCAAUUCAAAUCAAAUUUGAAUUAAAUUUUGAACCAAACUUUAUUCACAUCUUAUAAACUUAGAGAGAGAUCGACCAACAUUAGAUUGGUGCAAAAAAUCUCAUGCAAAAAUACUUUAUGCAUGGAGAAAGGUGAUAGUGUGAAGAGAAAAGUCCAACUUAAUUUGGACUCUAGGUUUUCAUUCAAAUUCAAACCCAUUUGAACUCAAAUUUAAACUAACCAAUUUUUAAUUCAAAAAAAAUUAGAUGUGGACAUGAAAAAGCUUCUAUGCAUGAGAAAAAUCAUGUAAAAAAUUUUUCUCAUGUGAAGAAUAAGAGGGCGC
rnacentral:lncRNA from 1 species